AUCAAAGGUUAAUUUAUUAUUGAAGAAAGAAAAAUGUCUCUAUCAAUGAAUAUAGCCUAAGGAUACGGGGUUUAUGAAGUCUACAGUAGUGUACAGCAGUGUCCUAGGCCUUCAUGUUCAUUCAUCAGUAGGUGCACUCACCAACGGACCCAGAGCAACUCCAGUCCUAUAAGCUGCAGUCAUAGUAAGUGCCCUACACAGGUGUACCAUUUUUAAUCCUUUUACCAUUUUUAUUGUACCUUUUCUGUUUAGAUGUGUUUAGAUACACAAAUACUUACUACUGUGUUCCAAUUGCCUAUAGUAUUCAGUACAGCAACAUGCUGAAUGGGUCUGUAGACUAGGAGCAAUGGGCUAUACUAUACAGCCUGGGUUUGUAGUAGGCUAUACCAUCUCAGUUUGUGUAAAUACAUUCUAUGAUGUUCACACAAUGUCAAAAUUGCUUAAUGAUGCAUUUCUCAGAACCCAUCUUCAUUGUUAAGUGACAUAUGACUGUAUAUUAUAAAGAGGCCAAACCCACGCCUGAUGUAUGUCAGCAUGCCUGAGUUACUUAACACAAGGUCUGAGACACAGAGGAUGCUUAUAAUACUGACUAAAUGACUAAUUAAAAAGUUAUUUCCACUAAAUUUUGAAUCAUAUUGUAUCCUUGUUUUGGCAGCAGAUUUACAUCCUUAAUUCUAUCUUGCUUAGCUAAAAUUAACAGGUUUACAUUUUUCAAGUAAACUCUAGAAAUUAGUUGCUUAGAUGCCUGCUAAGUGAUGGGAUCAAGGGAGGCUAAGCUCUAAAGUUUGUCAAGAAAAAGCUACAUGUGAAUAAUUAGGAGUUGCUAGUUAAGCACUCAAACUUUUUUUUUUUUUUUUUUUUUUUGGUGAUAAACUGUAGGAGUUUCUCGGGUCUAAAGGAAGACACAGGAUGUCUUCAGAGAUUGGAGCCACAUUUGGGCCAGGAGCAACUAUUUAAAGGACUCCGCGUCGCUAAAACAAUAAGAAUAGUAUAAAAAAGUACCCAUGUAUUUGGUUGUUUUCUGGACAGGUAAACCCAAGUCUUAAGUAAGGGCCAUGAGUACAGAUGACCACAGAAAAGUUUCCAAAGGAAACCCUGAGUGAGCAAGCUUGACUGUAGUCUACUAUAGACUUUAAAAAUAUCCAUUUGUAUUUUUAGGAGUUCUUACAAAUAUUAAUCCACCAUAAAAGUAAUAACAGCAAGGCCUUGAAAGUUAAUGAUAAUGAAAGGCAAUUUUUAAAUUUUUUUUUAGAGAAAGGGUCUCCCUUAUUGCCCAGGCUGGAAUGCAGUAGUAUGAUCAUAGCCCACUGUAACCUUGAAUUCCCAUGCUCAAGCAAUCCUCCCACCUCAGCCUACCGAGUAGCUGGGACCACAGGCACAUGCCACAAUGAUUGGCUAACUUAUUUUUAUUUUUCUGUAGAGACAGGGUCUCACUAUGUUGCCCAAGGUGGAAAGGCAAUAUUUUUUAAGGUACUAUGUGCUAGGCACUAUGUAAGCUUAAAUCUUGCUGAGCUUCAUAUCUUAGCUACAUCUCUUUUGAUCCUUACAACAAUCCUAUGAAGUGAGUAAUAUUAACAUCCCUAUUGACAGAAUGAGGCUAUGAGAAACUAAGUCACUCCAGUUCACAUGGUUAGUUACUGACACAGCCAGGGUUCGAAACCAGGCCAACUGAGUUUUAACCACUACUCCAAUUAGCUUUCUCUGGGCUUAUCAUGUCUCUCAUGUCAAAUAACGUGUUAUUCUGCCAGCCCACAAGAGUCUUGAGAGCUCAAAGGCCCAUCUCUGGGAGGAUACCGAUGGAAGUGUGUCAUGAGGAUCUUAUCACUCAUCUGAGCUCUGCAUGUCACUCAGGCUCCAUACUCGGCUUCCUCUGUUCUGAUGUACAGUGAUAACCCAGGGCAAGGGGUUUCCAGAAAGACAGCACAUACUCUGGCUCAGCAAGUUACUUAAUCUCACUCAACUGGCCCAGCAGCUGGAUUCACGCAAGUCAGGUGGCCUGGAACUGAUCCUCUCUGGUUGUAGAAUUAAAAAUCUGGCAAGGAUUGGAAAGAUAGUUUACUUAAUAGGGCCUCAAGUAUAGGAAAGCAAUUGAAGGGUGAUUGCAGUGAUAGAAUCACUUGAGAGAGGGAGGUAGGGAAACUGUAAGUUACUAUAAAGUUGUGACCUUAUUUUAAACUAGAAAACUUAGUGGUCUCUUAUGUCUUUUGACUUUCAAGCAUUCCUGUGAGAGGGCUGGCAUAAAUGAUUGUUAAUGCUGUUGAUGGGAAAUUUAAAGUAGGAGGAAUCUGCCUACUGGCUUUUAAGAAAAGGUGAUUUCCUGCAAGAUGACCUAAUUGGUUAGGAAACAGAUAAGUGAACCUUCUCUAUGUUCACUUUAAGAGGAAGUUCUAAAAAUUGAGGUGCUCACUCCCUCUCUCUCCUUUUUGAUGAUUGUGAUAUUUAGACCUGCCAAAGCAGUAUAACUUCAUUGUCUGGAAUUUGGUUAAUUCCAAUGCAAAUACAAAAAUCAAAUACGUGAACUGAGCUUUGAAAAUAUUUUCAUUUUUGAGGAUUUUCAUUGUUAUGGGAUUGAGCCUGUAGAAGUCUCUGUGUAAGCUACAUAGAGCAAAUCUAAUCUACUCACACUGAAGUCAGGGCUCUGUAAAAGACUGUGGGAACAUUCAUUCUCCACUCUCUCAGAGACUCUUUUAGAUGGCACUGGCUGAGGCAGAAUGAAUACAGCUGCUGAUUCUGAUCUCACACUGGGUAUAUCCCUGAGUGCUGGAAAAAACAUCACCCUCAGAAGUGUGCAUUCAGCCAGCUGCCUUUGGAGAGAGCUGGGAAGGGUGCAAAGUGGCAUGUCCUUUACCAGUCACUCUUUCUGGGCCAAUGCUUAUCCAGAAAUGAGACAGAACUAUGGGUUUACUGCAAAUGACCAGCAUCCGCAAAGUGAUCAAGACUACCAACUUUGGUGUUCACUCUGCAAUGAAAAAAUGAACCAGCAGAAGGUGAAUGUGAAAGACUAAGAAGAGCCCUGCAGAAAACCCGUUAGCCCAUGUUUUCAUCUGUAAUGUGGAUGUGGGAUAGGAAGAGGGACAACGACAUAGUACCGACCAGGUUCCAGAAACUAUUCCAAGUGCUUUACGUGAUAAAAAUCUCUUAAUUGUCUCAACGACCAUACGAAGUAUAUCUCUAGUGUUGCCC
rnacentral:lncRNA from 1 species